GGGAAUAUGGCUCAGUGGUAGAGUGCUUGCCUAGAAUGCAGGAAGCCUUGCCUAGAAUGCAUGAAGCCCUG
rnacentral:tRNA from 1 species